rnacentral:rRNA from 1 species
AGUGAACGCUGGCGGCAGGCCUAACACAUGCAAGUCGAGCGGAUGAAGGGAGCUUGCUCCUUGAUACAGCGGCGGACGGGUGGGUAAUGCCGAGGAAUCUGCCUGGUAGUGGGUUAUAACGGCCGGAAACGGGCGCUAAUACCCCAUACGUCCUUAGGGAGAAAGGGUGGGAUCUUCGGACCUCACGCUAUCGGAUGAGCCUAGGUCGGAUUAGCGAGUUGGGGGGGUAAAGGCCUACCAAGGCGGCGAUCCGUAACUGGUCUGAGAGGAUGAUCAGUCAACAUGGAAAUGGGAACAGGUCCAGAAUCCUAAGGGAGGCCGGAGUGGGGAAUAUUGGGACAUGGGCGAAAGCCUGGUUCAGCCCUGCCGCGUGUGUGGAAGAGGUCUUCGGAUUUGUAAGCCCUUUUAGUUGGGAGGAAGGGCAGUAAGUUAAUACCUUGCUGUUUCGACGUUACCCACAGAAUAAGCACCCGCUAACUUCGUG